rnacentral:rRNA from 1 species
UACGGGGGGGGCAAGCGUUGUUCGGAAUUACUGGGCGUAAAGGGCUCGUAGGCGGCCAACUAAGUCGGAUGUGAAAUCCCCAGGCUUAACCUGGGAACUGCAUCCGAUACUGGAUGGCUUGAAUCCGGGAGAGGGAUGCAGAAUUCCAGGUGUAGCGGUGAAAUGCGUAGAUAUCUGGAGGAAUACCGGUGGCGAAGGCGACAUCCUGGACCGGCAUUGACGCUGAUGAGCGAAAGCUAGGGGAGCAAACGGGG